GGGCGACUAGCUCAGUUGGUUAGAGCGUUUGAUCGACAUUCAAAAGGUCACAGGUUCGAUUCCUGUGUCGCCCA
rnacentral:tRNA from 1 species